AACAUAGCCCAAUAGUUUACAGUAAUCCAGUCUGAAGUGCAAAGAUGUGUUCCAGCAGAAUCAGGACAGACCAGGAUGAGUGACUCUAUAGAAGGCAGCGCCGGGACCUUCACACCCUGGUUUUAGAAAAUUCCUGGCUCUUUCUGCAUGUUACAAAGUGAUGAGAAAAAGAUGAAACAAAGGAGUAGAGCUGAGCCAAGCUCAUCAACAUUGGCAAAGAUCACAAAAUAAAAUUUUUACAACAUACAGAUGUGCAUUAAUAAAAUUUGGGCACAUCAGUUGAGAAGAGCAAUUUGUACUGACAUCCUGAAAACCCGGGUUUCAUUAACUGCUUCAAUUCCGCACCACUCUAAAACUUCAGGGCUGGGAUGUGCACUGUCAUGGGAUCAUUCACAUGAACUCCUCUCCAUUCCAGAGUGUUCUAUCCAUGCAAUGGCUUGGAAACUGAUGAAAGUGUGAGUUUUACCUUUCCACUCUCACUGGGGGUGAGCAGACUCUGGCUUCCUCUCCUGGAGAUAGAUGUAGGACUCUGGGGAGGAAGUGGAAUACAGGCGCUGUGGAUAUUUCAAUGUGGCAUGGGAUGACAUGGGGCAUCUAAAACAUUAUUUCUGUAAAAUACAUUGUCUCUAGCUUCUACCAUCCUAGAACUGUCUGUGGAGGCAUGGUAUUAUUUUGAGAAACAUUUGUUCCCAGAAGUGGCCCAUGUUUCAGUCAUGUUCUAAAUUUCAGUUGGAAUAUACGGUCACUGAUCUACAGACUCACUUAAGCAGACUCUAUUCAUGUAUUUUUAACAAGCAUUUACUUUAUGCCACCACUGCUUUGAAGACUGAACCCUGAGAAGCAGGUAACAUUAUCAAUGCUGUUCUACAGCAAGGAGCAUGCAC
rnacentral:lncRNA from 1 species